rnacentral:pre_miRNA from 1 species
AAAAAGACAAACCUGGUUUCUGUGUCCAACGUUUGACCGUCCGUCUUAUUUGAAAAAGUUAUGAAAAAAAUAAAAAGACAAGUCACACAUAAAAUAUUAAUCAUGUUUUAUAAUCUAACAAUAAUAAAAAUACAAAUUAUAAAAAAAUUUCAUAUAAAACGGACAGUUAAAGUUGGACACGAAAAUCCAGAGUUUGCCUUUUU